AAUCAACGCUGGCGGCGUGCCUAACACAUGCAAGUCGAACGAGAAAGCGGUAGCAAUACCGUGAGUACAGUGGCGCACGGGUGAGUAACACGUGGAUAACCUGCCUUCGAGCGGGGAAUAACCCUGGGAAACCGGGGCUAAAACCGCAUGACAUCCUGAAACUAUGUUCUGGGAUUAAAAUUCGAAAGAAGCUCGAAGAGGGGUCCGCGGCUGAUUAGCUAGUUGGUGAGGUAAUGGCCCACCAAGGCUUUGAUCGGUAGCCGGCCUGAGAGGGCGGACGGCCACACUGGAACUGAAACACGGUCCAGACUCCUACGGGAGGCAGCAGUGGGGAAUUUUGCGCAAUGGGGGAAACCCUGACGCAGCAACGCCGCGUGGACGAUGAAGCAUCUUGGUGUGUAAAUCCUUUCUCGGCAGGGACGAAUAAAUUGACGGUACCUGCAC
rnacentral:rRNA from 1 species